rnacentral:rRNA from 1 species
UACGUAGGGUGCGAGCGUUAAUCGGAAUUACUGGGCGUAAAGCGUACGCAGGCGGCUGCGCAAGACAGAUGUGAAAUCCCCGGGCUUAACCUGGGAACUGCAUUUGUGACUGCGCAGCUAGAGUUUGUCAGAGGGGGGUGGAAUUCCACGUGUAGCAGUGAAAUGCGUAGAGAUGUGGAGGAACACCGAUGGCGAAGGCAGCCCCCUGGGACCUGACUGACGCUCAUGUACGAAAGCGUGGGGAGCGAACAGG